rnacentral:rRNA from 1 species
AUAAACCGGAGGAAGGUGGGGAGUGGACGUCAAGUCAAGCAUGGCCGUUACUAUCCUGGGCUACACACACGCUACAAUGGGAAGGGACAAUAGGUUGCGAAACCGCGAGGUGGAGCCAAUCCAGCAAAACUUCCCUCAGUUCAGAUUGCAGGCUGCAACUCGCCUGCAUGAAGUUGGAGUUGCUAGUAAACGCAGGUCAGCCAUACUGCGUUGAAUACGUUCCCGGGGCUU